UACGUAGGGUGCAAGCGUUAAUCGGAAUUACUGGGCGUAAAGCGUGCGCAGGCGGUUUUGUAAGACUGUCGUGAAAUCCCCGGGCUUAACCUGGGAAUGGCGAUGGUGACUGCAAGGCUAGAGUUUGGCAGAGGGGGGUAGAAUUCCACGUGUAGCAGUGAAAUGCGUAGAGAUGUGGAGGAACACCGAUGGCGAAGGCAGCCCCCUGGGUCAAGACUGACGCUCAUGCACGGAAGCGUGGGGAGCAAACAGG
rnacentral:rRNA from 1 species